rnacentral:pre_miRNA from 1 species
GUAUUACCAUGAGUUCCCUGCAAGCACUUCACGAGGCCCAAUUAUGAUGGCUACUGUGAAGUGUUUGGGGGAACUCUUGGUGUCAC